GACGAACGCUGGCGGCGUGCCUAAUACAUGCAAGUAGAACGCUGAAGGAGGAGCUUGCUCUUCUGGAUGAGUUGCGAACGGGUGAGUAACGCGUAGGUAACCUGCCUGGUAGCGGGGGAUAACUAUUGGAAACGAUAGCUAAUACCGCAUAAGAGUAGAUGUUGCAUGACAUUUGCUUAAAAGGUGCAAUUGCAUCACUACCAGAUGGACCUGCGUUGUAUUAGCUAGUUGGUGGGGUAACGGCUCACCAAGGCGACGAUACAUAGCCGACCUGAGAGGGUGAUCGGCCACACUGGGACUGAGACACGGCCCAGACUCCUACGGGAGGCAGCAGUAGGGAAUCUUCGGCAAUAGACGGAAGUCUGACCGAGCAACGCCGCGUGAGUGAAGAAGGGUUUCGGAUCGUAAAGCUCUGUUGUAAGAGAAGAACGAGUGUGAGAGUGGAAAGUUCACACUGUGACGGUAUCUUACCAGAAAGGGACGGCUAACUACGUG
rnacentral:rRNA from 1 species